GCUAUGGCAAAAUCCAUAGCCGAGCCUCGAAACUCGACCGAUAAAUCACUGGCGAAUAGCACGCCGACAGCGUGUUUUUU
rnacentral:sRNA from 2 species